CCAGGCAGUGCCGAGGACGGCCACGCCAAGGCGAGCGGCGGCCAUGGCCCUCAGACGUACGUAGAAGAGCAGAAGUCGCCUCGGCGGCGCCGAUGCGCACGCACGGCAAGCAGGCCGCAUGGAGUUCCCACUCUGGACUUUCAUGUAUAUACAUGCGUCUCUGUCUUUUUUUGUAUGCAGGACAUGAUCCAGAUCGACCAAUAGCGUUCUAGGCUCGGCAAGCCACAUGGUAAGAGGUGACCCGGCAGCGGAGCCCAAGGCGAGGGCCAGCCGGCCAGGCGCCGGGCAGCGACGACAGGAACGCGCCCCAGGCGGCGGAGGUGCCCAGCGGCCUCGUCCAUGAGGUAAGGGCGGCAGCGCGUGCCCUAGACAGAGGGCAGCGAUAUGGUGAGUCAGGUGAGAGGCAACGCUGGGAGAAGAACCACAGCGCAGACGCACAUACGCGAGCUCGACGCACGAACGUGCAAAAGUUCACCUGUGAUGAUAGCAGCCGUCUUCCCUCAAGCGGAGGAUUAAUGCUAAUGCAUCUUCUUUACAUUUCUUGUUUUCCUUUUUAUCAGUGGCCAUGAGAUCGGCCAACAAACUACCGGCGUACAUCCCUUGUCGGUCUCAUCCACUGAGACGCCGUUGCCGUGCGGCGAGCCACGGCGCUCGGCCGUACAUCGGCUCAUCACGUGGUUGGUGGAGACACUAACGGCGCACGACCCGGCCAUGACAUCGUCUUGGCGGCGCCCUUCUUUCUCACCCAGCCACGACAUCGACAUCGCCACACGAUGGCGACGAGGCUGCUAAUAACGUGCAGCCUUCCGGCGCGCAUGGAGCACGGAGCAGAAAGCGAAAUCGAUACUAAUCUCUCUUACAUGUAUAUUCUCCCCCAGGUGCAGCUCGCCUACAUGAUGCUGCUGGAUGGAGGCCUUGCUCGUCGUCCGUGCCUUACCGGCCGCAUGCUGCCGUGUGCACCAUCAUCGUGGACUCCGCGGCUGGAGAUCGAAAGCUCGCGGCCAUGCGGAUGGCAUGACCUAUAUACACCGACAUCAUCGUCCACUCCGAUUCGUCCCUCCCGUCUCGAGGCCGCGUUACCGUCCAUGAAGUGGCCCAAACCAUGUUCAAGAUUAACGAUGGCUCUUCCAUAGAGCUACUAAUCUUUAUUUUUCAGGUUCUUGAUACACACCGUCAUCAUCCACUUCGACCAGAGCUUGCGGCCGUGCCACGUUGGCAUGGCCGUACACACCGUUGUCGUCAAUCCCUACGGCAGCUUGUGCGGCUACGCUGCCAGCAUGCUCAUUCGUCAUCAUGCUAGACGCCGGUGUCCCUCCACGUGGUUUCUGUCGAGACACCGCCAUAUACGGUGCCAUGCUAGACGUCGUCGCUCCAUGCAAGGCACCGAAUACAUCAUCGACACGUCGCCGUCUACUCCAACGUCUACGCCAACACUCUUCCCCAGCAUUGUCCAAACGCCGACGAGCCGAGGCUUUACUCCACCGACUAGUCAUUCUCCGAUGAGAGGUUCCAGCAGAGCAGGUGAGCCACUAGCUUCUUCGUGGAGCAUGACGUUGGGUUCGAUGUUUAGCCAGGAGAUCCAGAUCAGGGUUCUGAGACUCAUGACGGGUUUCCUUCCAGCUUCCAGCCUCUUCAGGCCUUGCUGUAUUCUUGUUCGUACUCGGGCAUCGUUCGACUUCCGCUGAUGUAAUGAUGUAAUGUUUGGACAUGUGUCCUCUCUUUGUAAUAUUUGUUAUUCUGCACCUUGUAUGAGCUUUGUAAUUACUCUCUU